GGGCCUGUAGUAUAACGGCAGAAUGCGUCCUUCGCAAGGACGAGACCCGAGUUCAAUUCUCGGCAGGUCCA
rnacentral:tRNA from 1 species